CAUGCUGCAAAUUAGGAGAUGGGUGUCUCACUCUCCAAGCAGAACUUCCCCAUACCGUCUGAAGAAGACCGAUUGCAGGACAGAAAACGACGACAAGUGCAAGGAGGGCUACAGACGCUGGGAAAUUGACAGAACUGGAAACCGGGAACCGGGUUGCUUGCUAUGGGCCAGAAAAAUACCUUGAUACUUGCCUUUGUUAAACAUUUAUGGAAGCUUUUUUUUUUUCUUCUUUACA